ACAAUGUGCGAAAGCACGAUGAGGGAAUCCCAAGUGCUUGCACGUAAGUGUAAGCUGUUUCUAUGUUUAAAACGCAUAGAGAGUAAGAGCGUGGGUAAGACGGGUGCCAGCCGCCGCGGUAAUACCUGCAGCUCAAGUGGUGGCCGCUAUUAUUGGGCCUAAAACGUCCGUAGCCAGUUUAAUAAAUGCCUGGGUAAAUCGUGUAGCUUAACUAUACGAAUUCCGGGUAGACUGCUAAGCUUGAGACCGGGAGAAGCUAGAGGUACUCCUGGGGUAGAGGUGAAAUUCUGUAAUCCUAGGGAGACCACCAGUGGCGAAGGCGUCUAGCUAGAACGGGUCUGACGGUGAGGGACGAAGCCCUGGGGCGCAAACCGGAUUAGAUACCCGGGUAGUCCAGGGUGUAAACGCUGCUUGCUUGAUGUUAGUCGGGCUCCGAGCCCGAUUAGUGUCGGAGAGAAGUUGUUAAGCAAGCUGCCUGGGAAGUACGGCCGCAAGACUGAAACUUAA
rnacentral:rRNA from 1 species